UGACCUCAAAUCAGGUAGGACUACCCGCUGAACUUAAGCAUAUCAAUAAGCGGAGGAAAAGAAACUAACAAGGAUUCCCUUAGUAGCGGCGAGCGAAGCGGGAAGAGCU
rnacentral:rRNA from 1 species